GACGAGGGGUCCAAGCGUUGUUCGGAAUCAUUGGGCGUAAAGCGGGUGUAGGUGGCUCUAUAAGUCAGGAGUGAAAGCCCCGAGCUUAACUUGGGAAGUGCUUUUGAUACUGUAGAGCUUGAAUGUGGGAGAGGAUCGUGGAAUUCCAGGUGUAGUGGUGAAAUACGUAGAUAUCUGGAGGAACACCGGUGGCGAAGGCGGCGAUCUGGCCCAACAUUGACACUGAGACCCGAAAGCGUGGGGAGCGAACAGG
rnacentral:rRNA from 1 species